GGGCUAUCGAAUUCCACAGGACUUUCAGAUUCUCUGAUUUCAGGCGGCUCCGGUGACGAUGAACGUAUUUUUUUUAUGUCGUUCCAAAUUCCGAAGCUGGUAUCCAGCUUUGAUUGUGUGGAAGACGAAGAAAGAAAUUCCGAGGAGCUUACUUGCAGUUUAUUCUUCACCAAUUCUGAUUUAGGUUUUCGUAGAUUUCUUUAUCAAUUCCUUUUAGCUUAUUUUCUACAGUUUUGAAAUCGGAAAAUUGAAGCAGAUUCAAGCGUUCUUUUUUUGAUUUGUAUUUUGUUUCUCGUAUUAUAAAGUUUGAAACUUCUUUUGCCUUCCAUGUGGAAUGUCUUCAACCCUGACUGCAAUGGAAAUGCAGAAUGACCCUUUUUAGGUGAUCAGAAUUUGAAGCCCACAUACUGCAGAAUGUGGAACAAAGGCAGGCCAGGAUCUUUAACUUAUCAUUGGAGGAAAUCAUGGAAAGACGCAGUAUUCAAGAUAUUUAGAUGCAUAUACAAUCUCUUUGAUGGACUGAGGAUAACAACUAUUUGUAGUCUCUUUUACACCUUUGUUGACAGGAUCUAAAUUUGAAGAGAACAGUCCAUAAGUCUAUCUAUUAAGAGGAAGGAUGGGGGAGAUCAAGGCUCAUACUUCUUUUCUUUUUUUUAUCAUUUUGUGGUUUGAAAUAAUGUUUUUCUGGUUUGUAAAUUUCAUCCUCAAAUAUGGAAGGAGACUGACUAUGUUCUACUUUAAUAUUUUGAAGGCAGCUGGCUGAUCUCAUUGAAAAUGAUGAUUAAAUUUGUAAUUUGAUGAUGUAGUUCUAUUGGGC